GACGAACGCUGGCGGCGUGCCUAAUACAUGCAAGUUGAGCGCUGAAGGUUGGUACUUGUACCAACUGGAUGAGCAGCGAACGGGUGAGUAACGCGUGGGGAAUCUGCCUUUGAGCGGGGGACAACAUUUGGAGACGAAUGCUAAUACCGCAUAAAAACUUUAAACACAAGUUUAAGUUUGAAAGAUGCAAUUGCCUCACUCAAAGAUGAACCCGCGUUGUAUUAGCUAGUUGGGGAGGUAAAGGCUCACCAAGGCGAUGAUACAUAGCCGACCUGAGAGGGUGAUCGGCCACAUUGGGACUGAGACACGGCCCAAACUCCUACGGGAGGCAGCAGUAGGGAAUCUUCGGCAAUGGACGAAAGUCUGACCGAGCAACGCCGCGUGAGUGAAGAAGGUUUUCGGAUCGUAAAACUCUGUUGGUAGAGAAGAACGUUGGUGAGAGUGGAAAGCUCAUCAAGUGACGGUAACUACCCAGAAAGGGACGGCUAACUACGUG
rnacentral:rRNA from 1 species